UCCGGUGGUAAUGGCUAAGGGGAUCCACCUGUUCCCAUUCCGAACACAGCAGUUAAGCCCUUACACGUCGACAAUACUUGGCUGGCAACGGCCUGGGAAGAUAGAUCGCCGCCGGAU
rnacentral:rRNA from 2 species